rnacentral:rRNA from 1 species
AGUGAACGCUGGCGGUAGGCCUAACACAUGCAAGUCGAACGGCAGCACAGUAAGAGCUUGCUCUUACGGGUGGCGAGUGGCGGACGGGUAAGGAAUACAUCGGAAUCUACUUUUUCGUGGGGGAUAACGUAGGGAAACUUACGCUAAUACCGCAUACGACCUACGGGUGAAAGCAGGGGAUCUUCGGACCUUGCGCGAUUGAAUGAGCCGAUGUCGGAUUAGCUAGUUGGCGGGGUAAAGGCCCACCAAGGCGACGAUCCGUCGCUGGUCUGAGAGGAUGAUCAGCCACACUGGAACUGAGACACGGUCCAGACUCCUACGGGAGGCAGCAGUGGGAAAUAUUGGACAAUGGGCGCAAGCCUGAUCCAGCCAUACCGCGUGGGUGAAGAAGGCCUUCGGGUUGUAAAGCCCUUUUGUUGGGAAAGAAAAGCAGCAGGUUAAUACCCCGCUGUUCUGACGGUACCCAAAGAAUAAGCACCGGCUAACUUCGUG